rnacentral:rRNA from 1 species
CUAGUUGGCGGGGUAAUGGCCCACCAAGGCGACGACGGGUAGCUGGUCUGAGAGGAUGGCCAGCCACAUUGGGACUGAGAGACGGCCCAGACUCCUACGGGAGGCAGCAGUGGGGAAUCUUGCGCAAUGGUCUAACGACUGACGCAGCGACGCCGCGUGUGGGAGGACGCCUUUCGGGGUGUAAACCACUGUUGCCCGGGACGAACAGCCCUUUUCGAGGGGUCUGACGGUACCGGGUGAGGAAGCACCGGCUAACUCCGUGCCAGCAGCCGCGGUAAUACGGAGGGUGCGAGCGUUGUCCGGAAUCAUUGGGCGUAAAGGGCGCGUAGGUGGCCCAGUAAGCGUGCGGUGAAAGCUCGGGGCUCAACCCCGAGUCGGCCGUGCGAACUACUGGGCUGGAGCACUGUAGAGGCAGGCGGAAUUCCGGGUGUAGCGGUGGAAUGCGUAGAGAUCCGGAAGAACACCGGUGGCGAAGGCGGCCUGCUGGGCAGUUGCUGACACUGAGGCGCGACAGCGUGGGGAGCAAACAGGAUUAGAUACCCUGGUAGUCCACGCCGUAAACGAUGGGCACUAGGCGCUUGGGGGAGCGACCCCCCGAGGGCCGGCGCUAACGCAUUAAGUGCCCCGCCUGGGGAGUACGGCCGCAAGGCUGAAACUCAAAGGAAUUGACG